UUCGGCUNAGUNAGUAGAAAUUAGUGAUUAGUGAGUAGGAAACUACUGACUACCGACUAAUCACUACUCACUAUCUGCNUCGAAGACUCAGGUUUCCAAGCAUUGUGAUAAGGUAUCUGCACCUNAAUAAAAUAGGGUGUAAGANGCNAACGCAGGGAACUNAAACAUCUAAGUACCUGCAGGAAAGGACAUCAACCGAGACUCCGCAAG
rnacentral:rRNA from 1 species